rnacentral:lncRNA from 1 species
UCUGAUGCAGCUCUGUGUCCGCAGGUGCCUUCGACCAGCACGGCUGUCCUCUGGUGGUGUUUCCAGCGGAGGCUCAGGGUAAACUCCCAGAGGAGCUCCGCAGAGAGGAGGUGUCCCACUUCAUACACUACUGUCUGCGCCUGCACAACAUAAGAGGCGAGGAGAGGCUGCUGUCUGUGGUUGUUGAUUUGAGGCAAGCCAACCUCGCCAUCGCACGCUUCAUUGCUGAAACUCUCCUGUUGUUGGAGGAGGAGAUGACCGGGUUAAUGUUUUGUGGUUUAAUCCGCUUGAAGCAUUAGUGAACUACACUAUUAAUCCAACAGUUUGCCGUGAUUGACCCUAGAUGUGUUGCGAAAGGAGUAGCGUGUUCAUGUUUAUUCCCUCUUCGUGUGACUGAGGCACACAUCACUGUGUUUAUAGCUCUAGAUAUCGUCCUUGUACCAAGCCUUGAACGUUCUUUGGCGACACCGAACUGCUCUAAGGCAAUGAAAUGGAGUGGUUGGUGAUAAUGUCACGUAUCGUGCUGUCCUUCAGAGACUUCAUACAGUGUACUUCAGUGCAAACCUGCAGCUGCGUCUCUCACUGAUCAGGGUAUGGUAGAGAAAAGGUGUGUGGCGUUCCCUUUUGAUAAACUUCAGCACCCUUGGUGCAUUGAUUCAGUCUGACUGAUACAAGAAUGCAGAGUUUCCAUCUGGAGUUUUAACAAAAGCACUGUAGCUGUCAAAAGCCAAUCAACAAAAUGAUGCUUUUUGUCAUUCUGCAGACUUCUGUGGACCAAUAAACUGGUUUGUUUGGGUGCAGGUAGUACUGAAUGCAUUGUUCAUUUAGAUGUGCUGCCGUAGCAACACAAAGCUGUCUGAAAAGUGGCACACUUAUUCUUUAAUGAC